GGCGCUAUAGUGUCAUGGUCAUUACUUGGGAUUCUGAAUCUUAUUUGUCCUCCCAAAACCCAGGCUCGAGCCCUGGUAGCGCCU